rnacentral:rRNA from 1 species
AUGAGUAUCAUCAGCUGGAACUGUCGAGGUGCGGGCAAAGCCUCGACAAUUCGUGAACUUCGUGAGAUUGUGAAUUUUUUUGCCCCUACCUUACUUUGUAUUCUAGAAACUCAAAUCGACAAAGUUAGGGUAAAAAGUCUAGCUACUUCUAUUGGUUUUGAUAAAGGAUAUGUUGUAAGCAGUGUUGGUAGAAGCGGAGGCAUCGGUUUUGUUUUAGAAUAA